AAGGAAAACAAUAAUAGCAACUGAAAAUGAGAGUGCUAAAUUAAGUGGAGAAUAUAAUCCUACGGUAAUGAACACGUCAGAUCUCCAUAUACAUACCGGCUCAUUUGAAUCAAAGUGAGUAUUCCUCCCUCCUUUUCUAAGAACUCUCAGUGUUCCCUUGAAAUUAAAAGAAAAAGAAACAAUAUGGUAAAUUGCAAAUAAAGAAAAGAAUUAUUAUUAUGGAUACUAUCAGGGAACAACCAGGUUGAUUGCAGAACGGGGGCAUGGCCACUGCAUUCUAGGCAAUAAGUUAACUCUUCUCAAUAGAAAG